rnacentral:rRNA from 1 species
AUGGGCUGGCUGGCGGUGGUGGUGGGGCUGCUGGUUGCGUGGCCGCUUUUCGUGGGUGGCCACGGCGAGGCGGUCACCGAUGCCAUUGCCGAGCUGCUCGGCCCUGUGGGCCAGCUCCUCCUCCCUGUCGGGCUCCUCCUCUCCUCGGAUCACGGCCCUGGUGUGUUUGUGUUCGGCGGCUCGCCCGACACCGUGCUACACGUCGGGGGAUCCCCCAUCGGCAUGGUGGUCAUGUUGAUCCUCAUCCUCGCCCUUCUCUACUACCGGUCCGUGCUCUUCGGCGGUGGCAGAGACGACGACGAGUAA